UACACUUUUUAAACUCUCAAGCUACAAUUAGGGUUCUUUUUCUGAAAAUUGAAGUUGGCAGUUCUCAGUAAUGGCGGAAACUGAACCUGUAACUAACGAAGCCCUAGGAAUGGCCGAGAAGGAAGAAACUUCUGUUCAGAAAAUGGACGUUGAAGUUCCAGCCGCCAAUGAUGCCAACGGCGGCUCGAAGCGUCCAAGGGAGGAGGGAGACGUACCGGAGGAUGACGAGAAUGGAGAGGAUACGAAGAAACCGAGAGUUGACCAGUCUGUGGAAGAGGAAAAGAAAGAUGUGUCUGUCCCGGUUAGCGUUGGGUCCAAGAGUUUCGUUUC
rnacentral:misc_RNA from 1 species